AGUUAAUUUUCGACCAAUUUCAAGAGAUUGUGACGGGCAACGACUAUACAGGUAUUGUAGAGGAGACAUUGGCGCAUCGUUUAAGAAAAUCUCCAGAGUGGUUUAUGUUCGAAAAUCUGAAGUUACGGUUAAAAAACUGAAAUUGUGAAAUUGACAAAAUGAGAUUAGGGGGGUAUGCCAAUUUAAGUUAAUUUUCGACCAAUUUCAAGAGAUUGUGACGGGCAACGACUAUAUAGGUAUUGUAGAGGAGACAUUGGCGCAUCGUUUAAGAAAAUCUCCAGAGUGGUUUAUGUUCGAAAAUCUGAAGUCACGGUUAAACAACUGAAAUUGUGAAAUUGACAAAAUGAGAUUAGGGGGGUAGGCCAAUUUAAGUUAAUUUUGGACCAAUUUCAAGAGAUUGUGACGGGCAACGACUAAAUAGGUGUUGUAGAGGAGACAAUGGCGCAUCGUUUAAGAAAAUCUCCAGAGUGGUUUAUGUUCGAAAAUCUGAAGUUACGGUUAAAAAACUGAAUUUGUGAAAUUGAAAAAAUGAGAUUAGGGGGGUAGGCCAAUUUAAGUUAAUUUUGGACCAAUUUCAAGGAUUGUGACGGGCAACGACUAUAUAGGUGUUGUAGAGGAGAUAUUGGCGCAUCGUUUAAGAAAAUCUCCAGAGUGGUUUAUGUUCGAAAAUCUGAAGUUACGGUUAAAAAACUGAAAAUUUUAUUGUGAAAUUGACAAAAUGAGAUUAGGGGGGUAGGGCACUAAAAGAAAAAUUUGGACCAUUUUAAAGAGAUUGUGACGGGCAACGACUAUAUAGGUGUUGUAGAGGUGACAAUGGCGCAUCGUGUAAGAAAAUCUCCAGAGUGGUUUAUGUUCGAAAAUCUGAAGUUACGGUUAAAAAACUGAAAUUGUGAAAUUGACAAAAUGAGAUUGGGGGGUAGGCCAAUUUAAGUUAAUUUUGGACCAAUUUCAAGAGAUUGUGACGGGCAACGAUUAUGUAGGUGUUGUAGAGGAGACAUUGGCGCAUCGUUUAAGAAAAUCGCCAGAGU